GACGAACGCUGGCGGCGUGCCUAAUACAUGCAAGUUGAGCGCUGAAGGUUGGUACUUGUACCUACUGGAUGAGCAGCGAACGGGUGAGUAACGCGUGGGGAAUCUGCCUUUGAGCGGGGGACAACAUGUGGAAACGAAUGCUAAUACCGCAUAACAACUUUAAACACAAGUUUUAAGUUUGAAAGAUGCAAUUGCAUCACUCAAAGAUGAUCCCGCGUUGGAUUAGCUAGUUGGUGAGGUAAAGGCGCACCAAGGCGAUGAUACAUAGCCGACAUGAGAGGGUGAUCGGCCACAUUGGGACUGAGACACGGCCCAAACGCCUACGGGAGGCAGCAGUAGGGAAUCUUCGGCCAUGGACGAAAGUCUGACCGAGCAACGCCGAGUGAGUAAAGAAGGUUUUCGGAUCGUAAAACUCUGUUGGUAGAGAAGAACGUUGGUGAGAGUGGAAAGCUCAUCAAGUGACGGUAACUACCCAGAAAGGGACGGCUAACUACGUG
rnacentral:rRNA from 1 species